UACGAAGGGGGCUAGCGUUGCUCGGAAUUACUGGGCGUAAAGCGCACGUAGGCGGAUUGGUCAGUUAGGGGUGAAAUCCUGGAGCUCAACUCCAGAACUGCCUUUAAUACUGCCAGUCUCGAGUCCGGAAGAGGUAAGUGGAACUCCUAGUGUAGAGGUGGAAUUCGUAGAUAUUAGGAAGAACACCAGUGGCGAAGGCGGCUUACUGGUCCGGUACUGACGCUGAGGUGCGAAAGCGUGGGGAGCAAACAGG
rnacentral:rRNA from 1 species